rnacentral:rRNA from 1 species
ACUAGAAUGAACGGCUAAAUGAGGACCUUACUGUCUCUUGCUGCCAGUCAAUGAAACUGAUCUCCCAGUCCAAAAGCUGGAAUAACUCCAUAAGACAAAAAGACCCUGUGGAGCUUUAAAACCAAAACCACCUACAAUUGUCCACUUGGUUUUUAGUUGGGGCGACUUCGGAGCAAAGACAAACCUCCGAAACAAUGGACCUCACCAUAUCGAGGCCAACACGCCAAAAUAACCAAAACUUGACCCAGACCUUAAUUUCUGACAAUGAACCAAGUUACCCCAGGGAUAACAGCGCCAUCUUCUUUUAGAGUCCCUAUCGACAAGAAGGUUUACGACCUCGAUGUUGGAUCAGGACACCCCAAUAGUGCAGCCGCUAUUAAAG